UACGUAGGCAGCGAGCGUUGUUCGGAGUUACUGGGCGUAAAGAGUAUGUAGGCGGUUGCGUAAGUUUGGUGUGAAAUCUCCCGGCUCAACCGGGAGGGUGCGCCGAAAACUGGGAGACUAGAGUGCGGGAUGGGAGAGUAGAAUUCCUGGUGUAGCGGUGAAAUGCGUAGAUAUCAGGAGGAAUACCGGUGGUGUAGACGGCUCUCUGGACCGCCACUGACGCUGAGACACGAAAGCGUGGGUAGCAAACAGG
rnacentral:rRNA from 1 species